rnacentral:rRNA from 1 species
UACGGGGGGGCAAGCGUUGUUCGGAAUUACUGGGCGUAAAGGGCUCGUAGGCGGCCAACUAAGUCCGACGUGAAAUCCCCAGGCUUAACCUGGGAACUGCGUCGGAUACUGGUUGGCUUGAAUCCGGGAGAGGGAUGCGGAAUUCCAGGUGUAGCGGUGAAAUGCGUAGAGAUCCGGAGGAACACCGACGGCGCAGGCAGCGUCCUGGCCGCUUGCUGACACUGAGGCACGAAAGCUGGGGAGCAAACAGG